GUAUAUGGCCUCACCACUGUGAACACACCUGAUCUUCUCUGAUCUCUGAAGCUAACAGUUAGUUAGCACCUGGUUAGUACUUGGAUGGGAAAUCACGUGGGAAUACCGGCUGCUGUAGCCU
rnacentral:rRNA from 1 species